AUUUAAUUAGUAUAAAGAGUACAUUUAAUUUCCAAUUAAAAAGUUUUGAAAAAAUUAAAUA
rnacentral:tRNA from 2 species